rnacentral:rRNA from 1 species
UACGAAGGGGGCUAGCGUUGUUCGGAUUUACUGGGCGUAAAGCGCACGUAGGCGGGUUGUUAAGUCAGGGGUGAAAUCCUGGAGCUCAACUCCAGAACUGCCUUUGGUACUGGCAACCUAGAGGCUGGAAGAGGUUAGUGGAAUUCCCAGUGUAGAGGUGAAAUUCGUAGAUAUUGGGAAGAACACCAGUGGCGAAGGCGGCUAACUGGUCCAGAUCUGACGCUGAGGUGCGAAAGCGUGGGGAGCAAACAGG